rnacentral:misc_RNA from 1 species
GAUGAAGAACGUAGCGAAAUGCGAUAAGUAAUGUGAAUUGCAGAAUUCAGUGAAUCAUCGAAUCUUUGAACGCACAUUGCGCCCGCCAGUAUUCUGGCGGGCAUGCCUGUUCGAGCGUCAUUUCAACCAUCAAGCCCCCGGCUUGUGUUGGGGACCUGCGGCUGCCGCAGGCCCUGAAAACCAGUGGCGGGCUCGCUAGUCACUCCGAGCGUAGUAAUACAUCACGCUCAGGGCGUGCUGCGGGUUCCGGCCGUUAAAAAGCCUUAUUUACCCAAGGUUGACCUCGGAUCAGGUAGGAAGACCCGCUGAACUUAAGCAUAUCAAUAAGCGGAGGA